rnacentral:rRNA from 1 species
UAGGGAAUAUUAGUAAUGGGCGAAAGCCUGAACUAGCAACGCCGCGUGUGCGAAGAAGGCCUUCGGGUUGUAAAGCACUUUUUGAGAGGAUGAGGAAGGACGGUACUCUCAGAAUAAGUCUCGGCUAACUACGUGCCAGCAGCCGCGGUAACACGUAGGAGGCGAACGUUAUCCGGAUUUACUGGGCGUAAAGCGCGUGUAGGUGGUUUGGUAAGUAGGGCGUGAAAGCUCCUGGCUCAACUGGGAGAGGCCGUUCUAAACUGCCGAACUAGAGGAUGGUAGAGGGAGGUGGAAUUCGGGGUGUAGCGGUGGAAUGCGCAGAUAUCCGGAGGAGCACCAGUGGCGAAAGCGGCCUCCUGGACCAUUCCUGACACUCAGACGCGAAAGCUAGGGUAGCAAACG